rnacentral:rRNA from 1 species
GAUGAACGCUGGCGGCGUGCCUAAUACAUGCCAGUAGAACGCUGAAGGAAGGAGCUUGCUCUUUCCGGAUGAGUUGCGAACGGGUGAGUAACGCGUAGGUAACCUGCCUGGUAGCGGGGGAUAACUAUUGGAAACGAUAGCUAAUACCGCAUAACAGUAGAUGUUGCAUGAUAUCUACUUAAAAGGUGCAAUUGCACCACUACCAGAUGGACCUGCGUUGUAUUAGCUAGUUGGUGAGGUAACGGCUCACCAAGGCGACGAUACAUAGCCGACCUGAGAGGGUGAUCGGCCACACUGGGACUGAGACACGGCCCAGACUCCUACGGGAGGCAGCAGGAGGGAAUCUUCGGCAAUGGACGGAAGUCUGACCGAGCAACGCCGCGGGAGUGAAGAAGGGUUUCGGAUCGUAAAGCUCUGUUGUAAGAGAAGAACGAGGGUGAGAGUGGAAAGUUCACACUGUGACGGUAUCUUACCAGAAAGGGACGGCUAACUACGUG